UUAUUCACAAAAAAAGAAGAAAAAGCAAAAAAAAAACCUCUUCUUCUUCGCAAAAACCAAUCUCCACCUGCAUUGUUCUUCUUCAUUUUCCCUUCCUCUCCUUCUUCUAAACACAAACACCACCGCACCUCUACAACCAUUUCGAUGAUGUCCACACAGUCGCUUCCACGCAUACUCCAUCCAAGAUCCGCCUCCAUCCGCCGUUAACCUUAGAACACCUCCGUCGCGGAUCCACCACCACAAUUUAACCACAACCAUCACACCGCCGACGAACCGACCUCAAAUCCACCGGACAACACAACUCCUCCUACAAAAUCCUUCGUCGGCGAAUCCGCCUAUCACAACAAUCUUCCUUCUUCCAACAUCACACCGUUCACCUCUCCAAACCGACCAAACCACCGCUAGUCACCGACCACCACACAUUUCCAUCACAACCCCAAAAAUCAUCAUCAACAACCUCGCCGCCCCACACAUCAUAACCCAC
rnacentral:lncRNA from 1 species